GACGUAGGGCGCGAGCGUUGUCCGGAUUUAUUGGGCGUAAAGAGCUCGUAGGCGGCUUGUCGCGUCGUCCGUGAAAACCCACAGCUCAACUGUGGGCUUGCGGUCGAUACGGGCAGGCUAGAGUUCGGUAGGGGAAGUCGUAGUACUCUGGUGUAGCGGUGAAAUGCGCAGAUAUCAGGAAGGAACACCAGUGGCGAAAGCGGCUUC
rnacentral:rRNA from 1 species